rnacentral:rRNA from 1 species
UACGUAGGGGGCAAGCGUUGUCCGGAUUUAUUGGGCAUAAAGGGUGCGUAGGCGGCUUGUUAGGUCACUGGUGAAAGUUUUCGGCCCAACCGGAAAAUUGCCUGUGAUACCGGCGAGCUUGAGUGCGUGAGGGGUGGGGGGAACGAGCAGUGUAGCGGUGAAAUGCGCAGAUAUCAGGAAGAACACCGAUGGCGAAGGCAGGUCUCUGGGCCGAUACUGACGCUGAGGAGCGAAAGCGUGGGGAGCGAACAGG